rnacentral:rRNA from 1 species
UACGGAGGGGGUUAGCGUUGUUCGGAAUGACUGGGCGUAAAGCGCGCGUAGGCGGAUCAGGAAGUUGGGGGUGAAAUCCCGGGGCUCAACCCCGGAAUGGCCUUCAAAACUCCUGGUCUUGAGUUCGAGAGAGGUGAGUGGAAUUCCGAGUGUAGAGGUGAAAUUCGUAGAUAUUCGGAGGAACACCAGUGGCGAAGGCGACAUACUGGCUCGACACUGACGCUGAGGUGCGAAAGCGUGGGGAGCAAACAGG